rnacentral:tRNA from 1 species
UUGGGUGUAGCUUAAAUUUAAAAGCGUUUAGCUGUUAAUUAAAAGAAUGACUUAUGUCUACCCAAA